rnacentral:rRNA from 1 species
GACGAACGCUGGCGGCGUGCUUAACACAUGCAAGUCGAACGCUGAAGCCCUUUCGGGGGUGGAUGAGUGGCGAACGGGUGAGUAACACGUGGGUAAUCCGCCCUGUACUUCGGGAUAAGCCUUGGAAACGGGGUCUAAUACCGGAUAGGACCUGUCCUCGCAUGGGGGUGGGUGGAAAGUUCCGGCGGUAUGGGAUGAGCCCGCGGCCUAUCAGCUUGUUGGUGGGGUAGUGGCCUACCAAGGCGACGACGGGUAGCCGGCCUGAGAGGGUGACCGGUCACACUGGGACGGAGACACGGCCCAGACUCCUACGGGAGGCAGCAGUGGGGAAUCUUGCGCAAUGGGCGAAAGCCUGACGCAGCAACGCCGCGUGGGGGAUGACGGCCUUCGGGUUGUAAACCUCUUUCGACAUCGACGAAGGGGCCCUGUUGUGGGGUUUUGACGGUAGGUGUAGAAGAAGCACCGGCUAACUACGUGCCAGCCGCCGCAGUAA